rnacentral:misc_RNA from 1 species
UUGUAGUAAAGCAUUUUCUGCACAUAGAAAAUCAUAUAACACUGCGAAGCUCUCACUGUUGCUUCAUCAACCUCAGUAAUCCAUGCAUCAUCACAUUUGUACCACUGGUUUCUCAGGCGAAGAUAAGUCACGUAGUGUCCUGAUUCCAGCAUCCCUGAAUGAGUGAUCACAGCGAAAAUCUCAAAUUCUGGUGAUGUAUCUGCUUCAUUGCUUUCAAAGGUAAAAAUUCUAUUCCCAAAUUUGCUUCUCACAAUUGAGGAUGACAAAUAUGAUGUCAUAUCUAAGGAGAAUGGAAACUGCAAAUGCCAAUCAAUUUUUCUUGCCAUCCUUCUAACUACAGAGUGCUCAAAUCGUUUGAUAUGCAAAGACAACACCAAUGGCAGUCUGCUAAUUGACAUUUGCUUAAAUGAGUCCUGUUUUUCUUGACAAUUUUGGCAGUAAAGUUUCUGGUCUGAUCCCAACUUCUCUGGCCUUGAAAACAAAUCCAAACAGGCCGAAAG